CCUACGGGUGGCAGCAGUUAGGAAUAUUGGUCCAUGGGCGCGAGCCUGAACCAGCCAAGUCGCGUGAGGGAAGACGGUCCUAUGGAUUGUAAACCUCUUUUGUCGGGGAGCAAACGACGCCACGCGUGGCGUUCCGAGCGUACCCGAAGAAAAAGCAUCGGCUAACUCCGUGCCAGCAGCCGCGGUAAUACGGAGGAUGCGAGCGUUAUCCGGAGUUAUUGGGUGUAACGGGUGCGCAGGCGGAAGAUCAAGCCAGCGGUAAAAUUGAGAGGCUCAACCUCUUCGAGCCGUUGAACCUGGGUUUCUUGAGUGAGCGAGAAGUAUGCGGAAUGCGUGGGGUAGCGGUGAAAUGCAUAGAUAUCACGCAGAACUCCGAUUGCGAAGGCAGCAUACCGGCGCUCAACUGACGCUCAUGCACGAAAGUGUGGGUAUCGAACAGGAUUAGAUACCCGUGUAGUC
rnacentral:rRNA from 1 species